UGCAGUCAUGUACUCCUGAUUCUGUAUUUGUAGGACAUUAACCUUGCUCCUGUUGAUGAUUGAGGCACUGCGCAUGUGUGCACGACUGAUUCCCAACCUGCCAGGAACAGGUGUGAUCCCUGUGGGCCCAAUCAGUUUUAAUGAAGCCCUGGUGGUGGUGUUUGCUCUCCCCCUUCUCUCAGGUAUCAGCAGGUAUACCUCCACCUCCAAUCUACAGACUCUCUGAUUCAGCCUUCACACUGACUCUGAUGCCAAUUUUGAAGUCUAAUAUGACUAUCGGCUUACUUUGGGAAUGUUUCACUUCCCCGAUCCCCUGCGGACUCUGAGCCAUGGGGCUUGACCAGGCGCACGAAAAUGGGAGCCCUCCAGAGAGUGCAUCAUGUACUACUGAUGAAAGGGAUGACAUCUUUCCAUUCAACAAGCAAAACAACAAAUCCUUCUCCCCGGAGUGAAAUGGGAAUGAGAAAGCCACAGACCUCCUGGAAGAACAUGUGCUGCACAUUUCCAGCAAAGUUUCCAAACAAGUGUCCUGCUGCAUAGACACACAAGGCAACCAAAGCCAGGCUCAUAAAGGCUUUGUCACCACCUUGUCCAUGGACGUAGUACUCAGGCGGUGGACAGACUGGGAGGCAGGUGACAGAGUCUGAGCAGGAUCUGAUUCAAGAGAGCCAAGCUAACACGCCACUGCCUUUAACGAGGAGAGAUGGAGCGCAGGCUUACAGAGAGGGUGUUGAAUUGCCCUUCACAAGCACUAAAUGCGAGGCAGCACACAAAGCCAAAGCAUGGCUAAUCAAAUAAGAGGCAAGAGAAAAGCAAAGGAGUGGAGGGGGAAUGAGUUAAAGGGCUAUGGAUGUGCACAUAGCAGAAUAAAGGUGGUCACACAUAAAUGUGUAGUUUACAAAAAGCCAGAUUUUUUUCCACUCACCUGAAAUGUCAGUCAGAAAAUUCCAAAUGUUGUCCAUUUAGUUGUUAGAGGCUAUAAUAAAAGAAUGAAAGAUGCAUAUGACUGCCUACUAACAAAUUAUCAUAGAGUUAAACUGUGUAGUAAUCUCAAAUAGAAAAAACUGUCACUAUACAAAUUACUUAGAUGUGUACAAUAAUAUUUUGUCUAUUAACUGGAGCCAGAGAGGUGUGUCUUUUAUUUUCUGCAUUUUCUAGUUUGAACCAUCACAAAUUGUUGGUGGGUUAUGGUUUCCACCAUUAAUAGUUAAAUAGCUUCUUACUUGUUAGCUACAUUAUCUUUGAAGAUAAAAUUCAAAAUUUGGAUGAAUAUUUGUACAACAUUUGACAUGACAAAUUUGUGUGAAUUUGAAUUUUCCACUCUUUAAAAUAGCAUUUGUCCUUCAAUGGUUCAUAGUAGUUAAAUGGCAGAAACAGGAGGUUUCUGUGGCAUGAAAGCAAUUGUUACAAGUAUUUUGGAUGGUAAAAGAAACAGAAAAGAGUUGAAGUAGUUUUUUUUUCCCUCAUCUGCCUGGCAUGGGGCACGGUGUGUGGCCAAGCUCCAGGAUGGUGCCUCUUGUCCUGCACACCCCAACAUGCUGGCCUCUGGCUUCUCUCUCUCCCUCUCUCCCUCUCUCUCUCUCUCUCUCUCCCUCCACACACACAACCUCCCCCCACUUCAGCCCCAGAGACCUGAGAGACCCCGGAGGAAUGCUUUUGAGUAGCCAGCUUGCCAGCCAGCACCCUAGUCUGCAGCCCACUUUAUGGCACGCAGAGGAGAUGAAAGAGGCGGGAAGGAGUGACAUUUAGAAGAACUCUGAGCUCAUUCUAAAUUCCAAUCACAGCUCAAUCUUUUUCUACGCAGCAAAAUACGCACUGUUGAAUUGACACUUUCAGUGUUCAUUUAACCACAGAUAGACACAAAUGAACACUGAGAGUUAAUUCACCACUAUAUGUGGUAAAUCAACUUACUGUGGAAGUGAAACCUAUAUCACAGUUCUCUAAUGCUGAAAUUCUCUUACUUGUAAGAUGAGAGUGCCUCAACUAGUCAACAUGCAAGCUGUUUUAGAGCAUGUCCACCUAUGUCA